GGGAUUCGAUAUGUAUAGUUUGGUUGUAGCUGGCUCCUAAUUAACUUGGGGGCAUGUGCACACCUUUCUCUUUCAUCCCAUACACACCUGUGCACCUGUGAGACAGAUGUUUUGUGGGGGGGAAGGAACUUUAUUGGACCUUCUACUCCCCCUUGACUUCUGUCUACUUAAUUCAUAUAAACUCAAUUUAUUUUAAAACGGAUGUAAUGGAUGUAACACAUCUAAUACUAAGUUUCAACAACGGAUCUCUUGGCUCUCGCAUCGAUGAAGAACGCACCGAAAUGCGAUAAGUAAUGUGAAUUGCAGAAUUCAGUGAAUCAUCGAAUCUUUGAACGCACCUUGCGCUCCUUGGUAUUCCUUGGAGCAUGCCUGUUUGAGUAUCAUGAAAUCUUCAAAGUCAAACCUUUUGUUAAUUCAAUUGGUUCUGCUUUGGUAUUGGAGGAUUAUUGCAGCUUCACACCUGCUCCUCUUUGUGCAUUAGCUGGAUCUCAGUGUUAUGCUUGGUUCCACUCAGCGUGAUAAGUUAUCUAUCGCUGAGGACACCCUGUUAAAAAGGGGUGGCCAAGGUAAAUGCAGAUGAACCGCUUCUAAUAGUCCAUUGACUUGGACAAUAUCUAAUUUAUGAUCUGAUCUCAAAUCAGGUAGGACUACCCGCUGAACUUAAGCAUAUCAAUAAAGCGGAGG
rnacentral:rRNA from 1 species